CCUACGGGAGGCAGCAGUGAGGAAUAUUGGUCAAUGGGCGGAAGCCUGAACCAGCCAAGUAGCGUGCGGGAUGAAGGCCCUACGGGUUGUAAACCGCUUUUGCCCGGGGCUAACACCCUCCACUUGUGGAGGUCUGCAGGUACCGUGCGAAUAAGGGCCGGCUAAUUCCGUGCCAGCAGCCGCGGUAAUUCGGAAGGACCGAGCUUUAUCCGGAUUCAUUGGGGUUAAAGGGAGCGUAGGCGGGCGUUCAAGUCAGCUGUAAAAUCGCGCGGCUCAACCGCGCGCCGCAGUUGAAACUGGACGCCUUGAGUUCACAACAGGCAGGCGGAAUUCGUGGUGUAGCGGUGAAAUGCAUAGAUAUCACGAGGAACCCCGAUUGCGAAGGCAGCCUGCCGGGGUGCGACUGACGCUGAGGCUCGAAGGUGCGGGUAUCAAACAGGAUUAGAUACCCUUGUAGUC
rnacentral:rRNA from 1 species